UACAGAGGGUGCGAGCGUUGUCCGGAAUCACUGGGCGUAAAGGGCGCGUAGGUGGUGGCUUAAGCGUGCGGUGAAAGCUCGGGGCUCAACCCCGAGCCUGCAGUCGAUACGGGCAGACUAGAGUUCGGUAGGGGAGACUGGAAUUCCUGGUGUAGCGGUGAAAUGCGCAGAUAUCAGGAGGAACACCGGUGGCGAAGGCGGGUCUCGUGGGCCGAUACUGACGCUGAGGAGCGAAAGCGUGGGGAGCAAACAGG
rnacentral:rRNA from 1 species